UACGUAGGCAGCGAGCGUUUGUUCGGAGUUACUGGGCGUAAAGGGUGUGUAGGCGGUUUUCUAAGUUUGGUGUGAAAUCUCCCGGCUCAACCGGGAGGUGCGCCGAAAACUGGGAGACUAGAGUGCGGGAUGGGAGAGUAGAAUUCCUGGUGUAGCGGUGAAAUGCGUAGAUAUCAGGAGGAAUACCGGUGGUGUAGACGGCUCUCUGGACCGCCACUGACGCUGAGACACGAAAAGCGUGGGUAGCAAACAGG
rnacentral:rRNA from 1 species